AAAUAUAGCCCAAUUUUAUGGGACUAAAUAAAAUAGUUACCAUAAGCCUUAAGAUAAAACAAUAUUUAUAUCUGCCUUACAAAAAGCCAACCCGAUUAAACAAUGGCAUAUGCACAGUGUCUUUUUUGUCUCAAAAUAACGGAAAACGCAAACCAGCCAGCUUAAAUUCAAAAGAACAUUGUUGGCAGUUGCCUAGCAUUGUGGCCACUGUUGUGUAGUUCAUUUUUGUGCAGUGAAGUUGACCAUCAAAGGGUAGGAAAUCCGACGUUCCUGCAAUGGAAAUUGUUUUUUUUUGGUGGCACAGGCUGGGUGAGCAAGGAUAACAACACGAUUGAAAUUCCUUGUUAAUUGUAAGGGGCAAUGGCCGCUGAUGGCGUGGGCGCAGCUCUAUUAUCUUGGUAGGAAAACACGAAACAGAGACUGCGGCGUGCACAUUAUCCUUGUACUUGAACGACUGCAGCUGAGUGCACGUAAUGGAAUCCAAAGGAUGGGGGAUCAUUUGGCUGAACUUCGUCGUCUGCAGCCUUGAUUGGAUGUCCCUAACGUUGAUUUUAUGAACCAUUAUUACACUGUAUAACUAGUGGCGUAGUGUACAGAAAAAUAUGUAUGUUAAAAUUAAAGCCUUUCAAAACACAUAAAGGCAUUAAUUUGGAAGAAAACAAAAGUUAAACGGAAAGCUGUCAAAGUUUUACCGAAAGUGGGUGCUGAAGAGCAGACCGCAUAUACACUAAAGGUUCAUUAGACUGAAUAUUUUGUGCGUGUGUACGGCUUUAACUUUUAGCUGAAAAGAUAGCAAUAAUAGUAAUAACGCCCAGCAAGCCUUAAAGCUUUCCCGCUAGCGUCUAUUAUGUAAGCCUCAGGAUUUUCCCAAGGACACGCCGCAGGACAGGCCAAAAUAGUAAAUCACACAGCGCCUCCAUCUCUUUUGCUACCAUUCAUCAGACAGAAUGAAAGUCAUGGGAAACAGAAUACAACAAAAAUACAAUCUUAUAACACAUACCACGUUUGCAAUGGCCAUGGACGUAGUACAAAGGACACAGUAACACAGCAGUCAGCAAGUCUGGAUACAACUUUCGAAACUAAUAUACCCUUCAAGUAACUAAUGAUGUUGGCUGAAUAAUACAAUUGUUAUAAUAUUCAAAAAAUAUUGUAUAUCGUAUUUCAAUCGAAAUAAUUCCGAAACUAAAACACUUUAUGAUCAAAAACAA